AUCCCACACUCAGGAACCAAAAUGGAACCAAUCCUGCAGUGCAAUGGACCCAAAAUGGAACCGAUCCCAUACUGCGGUAGAACCAAUCCCACACUGCAGUGGACCCAAAACAGAACCGAUCCCGCACUGCAGCGGAACCAAUCCCACAGUGCAAUGGACCCAAAAUGGAACCAAUCCUGCAGUGCAGUGGACCCAAAAUGGAACUGAUCCCACGGUGCAAUGGAACCAAAGUGGAAUCGAUCCUGUACUGCAGCAGGACCGGUCCCACAGUGCAAUGGAACCAGAAUGGAACCGAUCCCACGGUGCAAUGGAACCGAAAUGGAACCAAUCCCACAGUGUGACAGAACCGAUCCCACAGUGCAUUGGACCCAAACCAGAACCGAUCCUGCAGUGCAAUGGAACCAAAAUGGAACCAGAAUAAAACUGAUCCCGCAGUGCAAUGGAACCAGAAUGGAACCAGAAUGGAACCAGAAUGGAACCAGAAUGGAACCAGAAUGGAACCGAUCCCGCAGUGCCCACAGUUUCCCCGCACUGGGGGGUUUCCCACACUGACCCCCAUUUCUCCCUCACUCAGGUCCCACUCUGGGGGUUCCCACUUUGCGGUCCCACUCUUGGGUUCCCACUCUGGGGGUCCCACUCUGACCCCAUCCCACCGCCCCCAGAGUCACCACUGUGUCCCCACAGCUGGAGCUGCAUUGGGGUGGGCUGAGUGCCACAGUGGUGACAUUGAUGGAGGUGGGGAGCGUGGAGGUGACAUUACACGGGGACGGGGACUGCGGUGGUGACACUGGCCAAGGAGUGAAGGUGAGGACCGUGGAGGUGACAUCGCCUGGGGAUGGAGACCAUGGAGGUGACAUCUCAUGGGGAUGGGGACAGUGGAGGUGACAUCUCAUGGGGAUGGGGACAAGGGAGGUGACACUGAGCAAGGGCUGAAGAGGGGGACCAUGGAGGUGACAUCAGCUGGAAAUGGGGACCACAGCAGUGACAUCUCAUGGGGAUGGAGACAAUGGUUGUGACAUUGACCGAGAGCUGGGGAUGGGGACCAUGGAGGUGACAUUGACUGAGGAUGGGGAACAUGGAGGUGACAUCUCAUGGGGAUGGGGACAAUGGAGGUGGCACUGCAUGGAGAUGGGGACCAUGGUGACGGCAUCACCUGGGCGUGGGGACAAUGGAGGUGACAGUGACCAAGGGCUGGGAAUGGGACCAUGGAGGUGACAUCAUCUAAAGAUGGGGACAAUGGAGGUGACAUUGACUGAGGUUGGGGGCCACAGUGCUGACAUCUCAUGGGAAUGGGGACAAUGGAGGUGACACUGCAUGGGGAUGGGGACCAUGGAGAUGGCAUCAUCUAGAGAUGGGGACAAUGCAGGUGACAGUGACCAAGGGCUGGGAAUGGAACCAUCGAGGUGACAUCAUCUGGGGACGGGGACCAUGGAGGUGACAUCUCAUGGGGAAGGGGACAGUGAUGGUGACAUCUCAUGGGGAUGGGGACCACAGUGGUGACAUUGCGUGGACAUUGGGACCACAGUGUUGACAUCACAUGGAGAUGGGGACCAUGGAGGUGACACUGACUGAGGGUGGGGACCAGAGCGGUGACAUUCAUGGGGAUGGGGACCAUGGAGGUGACAUUGACUGAGGGUGGGGACCGAUGGGGACCAUGGAGGUGACAUUGACUGAGGGUGGGGACCAGACUGGUGACAUCUUAUGGGGGUGAGGACAAUGAAGGUGGCACUGCAUGGGGAUGGGGAACAUGGUGACGGCGUCACUUGGGGGUGGGGACAUUGAAGG
rnacentral:lncRNA from 1 species